AUUGAACGCUGGCGGCAGGCCUAACACAUGCAAGUCGAACGAGUGGCGGACGGGUGAGUAAUGUCUGGGAAACUGCCUGAUGGAGGGGGAUAACUACUGGAAACGGUAGCUAAUACCGCAUACCAUCGGAUGUGCCCAGCUGGGAUUGGCUUGUUGGUGGGGUAACGGCUCACCAAGGCGACGAUCCCUAUCUGGUCUGAGAGGAUGACCAGCAAAACUGGAACGGGGACACGGUCCAGACUCCUACGGGAGGCAGAAGUGGGGAAUAUUGCACAAUGGGCGCAAGCCUGAUGCAGCCAUGCCGCGGGUAUGAAGAAGGCCUUCGGGUUGUAAAGUACUUUCAGCGGGGAGGCGUUACCCGCAGAAGAAGCACCGGCUAACUCCGUGCCAGCAGCCGCGGUAAUAC
rnacentral:rRNA from 1 species